AGCGAACGCUGGCGGCAGGCCUAACAUAUGCAAGUCGAGCGCCCGGCAACGGGAGCGGCAGACGGGUGAGUAACGCGUGGGGAUCUACCCAUUGGUACGGAAUAACCCAGGGAAACUUGGAUUAAUACCGUAUAAGCCCUUCGGGGGAAAGAUUUAUCGCCAAUGGAUGAACCCGCGUCGGAUUAGCUAGUUGGUGGGGUAAAGGCCCACCAAGGCGACGAUCCGUAGCUGGUCUGAGAGGAUGAUCAGCCACACUGGGACUGAGACACGGCCCAGACUCCUACGGGAGGCAGCAGUGGGGAAUAUUGGACAAUGGGCGCAAGCCUGAUCCAGCCAUGCCGCGUGAGUGAUGAAGGCCUUAGGGUUGUAAAGCUCUUUCGCCGGUGAAGAUAAUGACGGUAACCGGAGAAGAAGCCCCGGCUAACUUCGUGCCAGCCGCCGCAGUAAUAC
rnacentral:rRNA from 1 species